rnacentral:rRNA from 1 species
UACGGGGGGGGCAAGCGUUGUUCGGAAUUACUGGGCGUAAAGGGCUCGUAGGUGGCCAACUAAGUCAGACGUGAAAUCCCUCGGCUUAACCGGGGAACUGCGUCUGAUACUGGAUGGCUGGAGUUUGGGAGAGGGAUGCGGAAUUCCCGGUGUAGUGGUGAAAUGCGUAGAUAUCGGGAGGAACACCAGUGGCGAAGGCGGCUUCCUGGCCUGUUCUUGACGCUGAGGCGCGAAAGCUAGGGGAGCAAACGGG